CGCCCCUGGAGAGACCCUUUUUGGGCAUCGAAGAAGCAAUCUAUACAAUUGUAUAGGGAAACUUUCAGAUACAAGGACAGGGCGGUAGAG
rnacentral:ncRNA from 1 species